CGCCUGCAUCACUUGGACACUACACAACCUUUGCUCCUUUUGUAACCUCAAGUUCAGCUGCAACACUUCAUUCAUCUAAAACCCAGUUCAGUUUCCCUCACCAUAACUUCCUCCGUGUCCUCAAUCGCAGUUACUGUAAGGAUCGAAAAUAAGAUAGCACAUAAAUUGAAGUUUUUAGUAUUAAAUACGUCAUAACAACUAGCUUAACCAGGACAAGCCCUUUUGUUUAUGAUUAGCUGUUAAAUAAAUGUAGUACGUGCCUGGAUGUGUUCGUAUUUUGUACUAAUCAUAAUAUCUAAAUAGAGUUAAAAGAAAGAAAACUAGGAAACCGGUGGAGUCUUCUUAGAACAACACCUGUAGUGAUACCAGGGAUAAAAUAGGGAAAUGAAAAUUACAGAAAAAUAAAUAUACGGGAGAGGAUAGAGUUUUGGUUUCAGAGAAAAUUGGAUUAGGUUGGAACUUUAAAGAACUAGGGAAAUGAAAAUUACAGAAAAAUAAAUAUACGGGAGAGGAUAGAGUUUUGGUUUCAGAGAAAAUUGGAUUAGGUUGGAACUUUAAAGAACUAGUCUACGUCUACAUCUUACAGGUGAACUUUGAGAUUAAGACAUUGAAUUGCUAAACCCAAGUCGAUUAGAGUGAAGAGAAGAGAAGGUUAGGGGAAAGGUGAAAUUCAAUCUGAUUUGAGGUGAAACAACUACAGCUGAGAACGAACCAAAGGAAACGGAAGGCGAGAUCUAUGUUUGGCUUGAGUGAGUAUUCUCUUGUGGAGAGAUUGGAGUGCCAAAGUUCUCAUCUUAUUCUGUGGAUAGUGUAUAUAACUUUUGUGGUGUCGAUAACUUCUAUAAUAUGUAAAUAUUACUUGUGUAACUUAUACAGACCUAGGAAAAACUAAACAUGCGAGUCUGUGGUAAAACAGUAGCACUUUGUAUAAUAAAACUCUUUUUGGUUUAAAAAUCUUAAUUGCAUUUUUAGUUGAGAACUACUGUUAUCA